rnacentral:rRNA from 1 species
GAUGAACGCUGGCGGCGUGCCUAAUACAUGCAAGUCGAACGCUGGAAAUCUAGCUUGCUCGAUUGAAGGAGUGGCGAACGGGUGAGUAAUACAUAAGCAACCUACCCACGAAGACUGGGAUAAUCUCUGGAAACGGGGACUAAUACCGGAUAGGUAAUCGGAAGGCAUCUUCUGAUUAUUAAAGGUUAAAAACACUGGUGGAUGGGCUUAUGGCGCAUUAGUUAGUUGGUGAGGUAACGGCCCACCAAGACGAUGAUGCGUAGCCGGCCUGAGAGGGUGAACGGCCACAUUGGGACUGAGACACGGCCCAGACUGCUACGGGAGGCAGCAGUAGGGAAUUGUCGGCAAUGGGGGAAACCCUGACCGAGCAACGCCGCGUGAGUGAUGACGGCCUUCGGGGUGUAAAGCUCUGUUGUAAGGGAAGAACGGUAGAUAGAGAAUAUCUAAAUGACGGUACCUUACCAGAAAGCCACGGCUAACUACGUG